AAGAAAGGAUCUCACUCUGUCGCCCGAGCUGGAGUGCAGUAACAUGAUCAUGGCUGAUUGCAGCCUUGAAUUCCCGGGCUCAAGCAAUCCUCCCGCCUCAGCCUCCUUAGUAGCUAGGACUACAGGUGCACACCACCACUCCCAGCUUGCUUGCUUGCUUAUCUAUCUAUCUAUCUAUCUAUCUAUCUAUCUAUCUAUCUAUCUAUCUAUGGUAGAGAUGGAUCUAUCUAUCUAUCUAUCUAUCUAUGGUAGAGAUGGAUCUAUCUAUCUAUCUAUCUAUCUAUCUAUCUAUCUAUCUAUGGUAGAGAUGGAUCUAUCUAUCUAUCUAUCUAUCUAUCUAUCUAUCUAUCUAUCUAUGGUAGAGAUGGAUCUAUCUAUCUAUCUAUCUAUCUAUCUAUCUAUCUAUCUAUCUAUGGUAGAGAUGGAUCUAUCUAUCUAUCUAUCUAUCUAUCUAUCUAUCUAUCUAUCUAUCUAAGGUGGAGAUAGGGGUCUUUCUGUGUUGUCCAGGCCGGUCUCAAACUCCUGGGCUCAAGCAGUCCUCCUGCCUUGGUCUCCCAAAGUGCUAGGAUUAUAGGCAUGAGCCACCAUGCCUGGCCCAUUUUAAACAUUUUUAAGUGUGCAGUUCAGUGGCAUUAAGUACACCCACAUUGCUAUGCAGCCAUCACCACCAUCCAUCUCCAGAACUACCCCCAUUACUAAUUUAUCUACUUGUUUACUGCUGCCUCCCACAACUGGCAGCUCCAUGUGAGCAGGGGCUGUGUCUGGGUUUGCCUUGUUGCCCACUGUAUCCCAAAUGCCCAGCAUAAUGCCUGGCACAUAGUAGGUGCUCAAUAAACAUGCGUUCAAGAAACAAAAUGAGUGUCUUGUAAAGGGUAUAGGACCGUGUACAAAAACAAGAGAGCGCAACAUGUGCAUUUUUUCCACACAGCCCCAAGACAAGACCAAGCUUCCUGGCAGCCUCAGUCACCAGAUAACAAUUUCAGGUUUUGUCAAAGUCUGUGGGGGGCAAAAACGCUGAGAGUUCAGUUUCUUUCCUGGUUCCAGGCCCCUCUACAAGGUCAAGAAUGAAGAUACAUGAUCACACAAACCACCUGACAUCAACACUCACCAUUUCAACACAUCAGCUCUACCGAGAGCAACAUUUUAUCAGUUGCUGAAGGGCAGGCACAAAAAUAGACUGCAGGGAUCAAAUGCCAUCCUCAGCUGCUCUCUUGACUCUCAGGAGUGAAAGGCCCUGGCAUCCAAGGACCCCAGGGCCUGGGGACCUGAAGGCAGGGGUCAGCUGUUCCAGUAGUUCACAGAAAUUGGGAGGUGGAGCUGGGGCUGGAAUUAGGGUGCCUUACACAUCAAAAUACUCAGUCAUCAAGGUAGAUCAUAUUUUAAUGCAAUUUUAAAAUUAAUGCAAAAUAUCCACCCAAGAUUAACAAAAUACCAAAAUUCUAAGUAAAGGUGAGGUCAGUGGUGCCAAUUUUUUCCCUCUUGCCUCGGUUCCUGUAGGGCUACGCAUGGCCCCGUUGCUGUUUCUGCCUUUGUUUUAAAAUUGGAUAUUUUGUUCAGCAUGGAUAUUUAUAUCAAUUAUUUUUUAAACACUGAUAUAAAUAGGAUUGAUCUUGACGACUGAGUUUUUUAGCAUCUCCUUAAAUUUUGUGCCAGAGCCAAGUGCCUCCUUUGCCUUACCUUAGCCCUCACCUGGGCGGGAUUAGAUGGAGAAAGUUACUGUUCAUGCAGGUGACUAAAAUGGGACCAUGUCUCGGGUCACGCCAUUUAGUGGGGCCUCAGUUUCAACAUCUCUGCAAUGGGGCCCAUAACCUCCUAGUUGCUGUGGAAUUGCUCCAGCCCUCAUGAGGUAUUUAGGAAAACUGUAAAAUGCUUAUAAGAAACUCUCCAGGAACUGUUAUUAAAUUCUUCUCAAAGAUGGUGAAUGGCCUGCCAGGAUGGGGGGUGGCAUUCAGCUUUGAGGUGAGUUACAAAACACGUGCCCUAUUUCUAAUGAAAGGAGUGAAGUUAGUGAAA
rnacentral:lncRNA from 1 species